GUACGCGAGCUGGGUUUAAAACGUCGUGAGACAGUUUGGUCCCUAUCUGCCGUGGGCGCAGGAAACUUGAGAGGAGCUAUCCAUAGUACGAGAGGACCUGGAUGGACUCGCCUCUAGUGAUCCGGUUGUUCCGCCAGGAGCAUCGCCGGGUAGCUAUGCGGGGAACGGAUAACCGCUGAAAGCAUCUAAGCGGGAAGCCGGCCUCAAGAUUAGGUUUCCCGGGCGCAAGCCCCUAAAGACCCCUCGUAGACCACGAGGUUGAUAGGCUGGAGGUGGAAGCGUAGCGAUACGCGGAGCUGACCAGUACUAAUCGGUCGUGCGGCUUGGCCUACCUCU
rnacentral:rRNA from 1 species